GUGGGGAAUAUUGGGCAAUGGGCGAAAGCCUUACCCAGCAACGCCGCGUGAGGGAAGAAGGUUUUCGGAUUGUAAACCUCUGUCCUGGGGGACGAAGGAAGUGACGGUACCCCGGGAGGAAGCCCCGGCUAACUACGUGCCAGCAGCCGCGGUAAUACGUAGGGGGCGAGCGUUGUCCGGAAUUAUUGGGCGUAAAGGGCGCGUAGACGGCUAAGUAAGUUAUAGGUGAAAGCCCAUCUUUCAAGGAUGGAAUUGCCUGUAAUACUGCAUAGCUUGAGUGCAGGAGAGGGAAGCGGAAUUCCUAGUGUAGCGGUGAAAUGCGUAGAUAUUAGGAGGAACACCAGUGGCGAAGGCGGCUUUCUGGACUGUAACUGACGUUGAGGCGCGAAAGCGUGGGGAGCAAACAGG
rnacentral:rRNA from 1 species